UAUUAGUGCCAAGAGAACUUGAGAUGCCAGGAACUUGGGACUGGAUGCCUUUCAGGUGCCUGCCCCAAUCAGGAGCAUUGACCUGGAGACCGUGUGUAGGAGUCCCCAUCUUUCGGAAUUAGUGAUGUGGUUAGAGUAGCAACGUGACUCUCUGUGGACGGAAGGUAGGUCGGAUGUGAGAGUCUCCCUCCAUGAACAUGUGUGCGUCAUCUCAGUCAUCGCUUGUAUCUUUAUUCUCAAAAACAAGUCAUUUUUGUUCCUGUCAGCAUCUUGGUUGGCCCGAAACAAAGAGGGCAAGCUGAGAUGGAGAAGCCCAGUCACAGGCCUCAGGUGAUGCUUUGGAGAAUGACUGCAUUGGGGAGAGCAGGAAAACAUUACUCAAACUGCCUUCAGUAGUAAAAAAAUAUGAUUUUAACAAACACUGCCGGAGGAUAUAAGAGCUAUUUGCUUGCAAGAGUUUUAGGAAUUACAGCAUUUGGGAUGCCUGAGUGGCCCAGUGGUUGAGCGUCUGCCUUCGGCUCAGGACAUGAUCCUGGUGUCCCGGGAUGGAGUCCGGCAUCAGGUUCCCUGCAUGAAGCCUGCUUCUCUUCCCUCUGCCUAUGCCUCUGCCUCUCUUUGUGUGUCUUGUGAAUAAAUAAAUAAAAUGUUUAAAAAAAAGGAAUUAUAGCAUUUUUUGUUUUUGUUUUUUAUCACCAGGAAUGGGAUGACCCGGACUCUCUAAGGAAGUGAAUUUCAACCUAGAUGUACUUCAAAAUAAUCUGAAGCCUUAAAAAAGAGAGAUGCCCAGGCCUCACCCCCAAACUACUAAAUUUAGGCUUUUAGUGGUUGGACUUGGAAAUCUCCAAGUAUAAAGCUCCUUGGGGGUUCUGGAGCAGCCAGUCUGGUGUUGCUCCAGGGAUUAGCAUUUGGAAGCCACUCCACUAAGUAUCUUUCCAGGCAAGUACAGCCCAAUAAGAACAUUUGGUGCCAAAAAGUGCUCCUGAUCAGAGAUACCUGCCAUAGUGAUGCAAGAAUCAAAGACAAAAGAGAGAAAAGACCUACCAAACCAACCUCCCUCAACUAGUCUCCUUGACUGCACCUUCAUUUAGGAGUGAAAUAGAAGAGGGACUGGGAUUUUUCAGUCUAAAAUUCUGUAUUUGUUGGAGUCCUGAAAUUCCAUCCCAUUAUAGGAAAAGUAGUUAUGAUUUUGAAGGACUGAUUGGCUGCUGACUACAGUGGACAGACUGGUAUGAAUCCCAGAGGAAUACUUUUUGGAAGAAAAUGUCACCAGAUCAUACCCCUUCUUCAAAGUUCCACUCAAUCUUUGGCUUCUCUGUGGAUACUCUUCUGAUCAUUCAAAGCACUAAAUGAUGUUCUCUGCCCACACCUGGCUCUCAUUCCAGAGUAUACCUAUAUCUGUAUAAUUUUUUUGGCUUUUAAUCAUGUGUGUAUUUCUAAAACUCUCCAUUAGUUGCCCUGGAUUGUUAUUUAUCUUUUUGUGCUAGUUUACUUUCUCAAGGAUUCUAUGAGCAAAUUAAUGCAUUUACAUUAUUCGUUUACGUGUUUUUCAAAUUGUUCUUUUUUUUUUUUUUUUGAUCUGGCAAAUCGUUCUUGAGUGCCAACUUGUGUCAGGCACUGUUCAAGGUCCUGGGAGAUUUUCUCUCUCUCUCUCUCUUUCUCUAUCUCUCCCAUCUACCAUCUAUCUCAGGUAGUAGAUGCUGUAAAGACAAAGUAGAGUAAGGGAGUUAAGUAAUAAAAUAUG
rnacentral:lncRNA from 1 species